CUGCAUUCUGCAUGUUGCUGCUACACAAAUCAAGUUGUCGUUGCAUCGUUCACAUUACAAUGAAGUACACGUUCGCACUUCUAACAAUCUUUGCUCUUUUCGUAGCAGCUGUUUACUGUGAUGAUGAGGAGAGGUUCAUUCCUGCCCUUCGAGAGCCAAUGGCACACCUAAUGGCAGCUGUCAAGGAAGGAGUCAAGUCUGCCGAUAAAUUUCUCGAUCUGAUCCCCAGUGGCUAGUGACAACAACGACGACCGCACCAAUACGUCAGCUCUGGGCCAGUCAAGAAAAGUACAUUCGUUUAUAAUUCAAUACACAUCCAAGGUGCAUAAUGUACUACUAUAUCCCAAAUAUCAAAUAAAGAGGCCUUAAACAUUGCA